GGACUCGGCCAUCAGCGGGAGGCGGGACGAGCCGGAGACCGCGUCCUCUACCGAGCAGAAAAUCCCAUGUUACCACUAUGAGAAGGAUUUUCUUUCCAAAGCGGUACGUCCUUAAGCAAGUGAUUCGGAGUAGCAGACAAAGCAGAAAACAGUGAAAGCCGUGUGCGGGACUCUGACAGGGAGACUUCUUUAUGGCUGCCCUGUGGGUGACACAGCAGAUGCUAGAAUUCCAAACCGCCCCAAAUAAAAACUGAAGAAUAUCGGCUAGGAAGCUGCCCUGCGUUCGGGAGCCUCAGGACCAUCGCGGCUGUCCUAGAGGGCUGACCUGCAAUGCUAUGUAUGUAAGAAGACUCGAGCAAAGCAUCAUCAAAUAUAUCGCAGAAUUGUGUCCAAAUUUCAGCCCAGUUCCUGCGGCGCAGGGUAGGUGCCUGACUAGCAAGGCAGUGACGCACUGCAGGCUUCCUGCAUGCCGCGUUAGAACACUGAGGCAAACACCGAGUCUGUUUUGGAAAUGUUCUGAAGCCAGUCUAUUAACACAGCGAGCCG
rnacentral:lncRNA from 1 species